CGAAAAACAAACUCCUAAUGCACACUGCGACAGACAGGGCAUAUCACCUAACAGCAUCUUUUGUCAUGUCCAGCACUGCUAAAGGCUGUGAAUACUCCAAACUAAACGAGCUGCACCAAUUUCAUAUCCGUCUUCUCCUCUCUGCCACUGCAUAAUCUAGGUCCAGUAUAUCACCAGGAACGUGCUCAUCGUCUUCCUUGCAGCCGGUGAUGCUGUGGCUGUACGCACCUAAGGCCUCUGGGGACUGGGGUGAGUCUUUCUUCUUUGCCAUAUGGACUUAAUAUAUCUUCUGCUUUCCCUUGUUCAAUUCCUGCUUCCUGUCAUGGUUGGAGUCGAUCGAGACGUUGGCUCACUCAGUCAUCUUCUUCUUGUACUCCAGCAGAAGACGUUGAUCCGGCUCAUUUCAGCCUCACACCCAGCAACACUUCGCCUUCCAUGCUUAAGCAAAACCUCUCAACUUGUUGCCCAUUUCUUCUUCGUCGUUGCCCGUUGACCCAAGAAGCUGUCUAAAGAUCAUGCUAACAGAUAUCGUGCAUUCCUUGCCAACCUACAAUGCUGUCACUUUCUGAAACGUUAAAAGUGGAUCUCCCUUGCUGAUUUUUCCUAUGGCAACCAUAUUAGAUUCUUUGGUUGGAUCAUGUGCCAAUAAGUUGAAAGAGAUUAUUACUGAAGAGGUGAUACUUAUUCUAGGGAUACAAGAAGAGCUCGCAGAGUUGCAGCGGAAGACUGAACUCAUACAUUGUUGUAUUAGUGAUGCUGAGGAAAGGAGGAUGGAAGAGUCAGCAGUUGACAAUUGGCUUGGUCAGCUAAGAGAAGUUCUAUAUGAUGUUGAUGAUAUUAUUGACUUGGCUAGAUUUAAGGGAAGCAUUCUACUAACUGAUCAUCCUUCAUCGUCAUCAAGGAAGUCAAUUGCUUGCACUGGCCUGUCAAUUUCCACUUGCUUUUCUAAUGUUCAGGCACGUCAUGAGGUUGCUGUGAAGAUUAGAAGUCUCAACAGGAAGAUAGAAAACAUUUCGAAGGACAGAGUAUUUUUGACACUCAAGAGUACGGUUCCUACUGGAAGCAGUUCAGUAUUGAGAGUGAGAAAAAGUUCCCACCUACUUGAGCCCAACAUUGUUGGCAAGGAGAUCAUACAUGCCUGCAGAAAAAUGGUAGAUUUAGUGCUUGAACAUAAGGGGAGAAAACUUUAUAAGCUUGCAAUUGUUGGGACUGGGGGAGUUGGUAAGACAACAUUAGCUCAGAAAAUAUACAAUGAUAGAAAAAUAAAAGGAAGUUUCAACAAAAAAGCCUGGGUUUGUGUUUCCAAAGUGUACUCUGAAGCUUCUCUUUUGAGAGAACUUCUUCGAAUUAUGGAAGUUCAUCAUGAUCAAGAUGAAUCAAUUGGAGAGCUCCAGAGCAAGCUUGAAAUAGCAAUUAAGGAGACAAGUUUUUUCCUUGAGUUGGAUGACAUGUGGCAAUCUGACGCAUGGACAAAUUUAUUAAGAAUUCCGUUGCAUGCUGCAGAAAUGGGAGCAAUUCUCAUAACAACUAGAAAUAAUAUUGUUGCCUUAGAAAUCGGAGUGGACCAUACUUAUCGAGUUGAUUUGAUGUCAACCGACGUAGGGUGGGAGUUACUUUGGAAGAGCAUGAAUAUCAGUGAAAGCAUAGAAUUGCAAACUCUGCAGGAUGUUGGGAUUGAGAUUGUUCGCAAAUGUGGUUGCCUUCCUCUUGCAAUCAAGGUUAUUGCUAGAGUGUUAGCGAGUAAAGAACAAACAGAGAACGAAUGGAAAAAAAUAUUGAGCAAAAAUGCUUGGUUCAUGAACAACCUUCCAAAUGAUUUGAGAGGUGCUUUAUAUCUGAGUUACGAUGAGUUACCACAUCAUUUGAAGCAAUGCUUUCUUUAUUGUAGUGUAUAUCCUGAAGAUGCAAACAUUUACCGUGAUGAUCUUACAAGGAUGUGGAUCGCUGAAGGCUUUAUAGAGGACCAUGGAGGUCAACUACUAGAAGAAACAGCAGACGAGUAUUACUAUGAGCUGAUCCACCGGAACCUUCUUCAACCAGAUGGUUUAUAUUAUGACCACAGCAGCUGCAAAAUGCAUGAUCUUUUAAGGCAGCUUGCUUGUUAUUUGUCAAGGGAAGAAUGUUUUGUUGGAAACCCAGAAUCAUUGGUAGGUAACACUGUGUCUAAACUUCGACGUGUUUCAGUCGUCACAGAUAAGAACAUGGUAAUGUUACCUAGCAUGGACGAGGUGCAAUAUAAAGUAAGGACAUGGAAAACUUCUUAUGAGAAAACACUCAGAGUUGAUAAUUCAUUUUUCAAGAGAUUUCCUUAUCUUCGUGUUGUAGAUUGGACUGAUUCAUUUGUACCAAGCAUCCCAGGUUGCAUCGGGAAUUUGAUCCAUCUACGUUUGUCUACAAUUGGACAUAGUGAUAAUGUAUGGAUGCCAAAAUUAUUUGGACGCUUCGGUUGUUUGAUGCAAGGGGGAUGCUGAUCAGUGCCCCUUUUGGAUACUUCAACCUUCCUAAUGUUCCACGAUUCAGAACUCAAGUUCUUGCCGCAAAAUGGUUUCUGUACACACAAAAAUGGCUAAAAUUGUAAAUGCAAAAUUUCAAAUGCCACCUGCGAUUAACUGCAGAUUGAGUUGCUGAUGGAGGUGUGAGCUCAUGAAACUAGGAUUGUGUUCAGUUCGUAGCAUCCUCUUCUUUCAUUCUUUGGAGUGAAUCAAUGAUCCUGUUGAAGUCACCAAUUGGAUGCUUUGUUCUCUAUGUUCUGCUUCUGUAGCUGGAUGAGUAUCAGUCACUGUAUCUGAACACAUACAAAGUGAACUCUAUGGUUUCAGUCUUUCAGAUCAGUGCGCGCCUGCUUUAACACCAUGGACUAUAAUAUUCACGUAAACUAAUUAUAAUCACAUCACCAAGUACGUCCAGUGCGCUUCAUGCAGCCACGGGGAAGCUGCCUUCUUCCAGGCACAGCGAGGGGAAAGGAAGGCAUGACACUUAUCUUCGUGUGCUGCAACCCCAGCUGCAAUCACAGAUGGAGGGAGUGACAUGUAAAUUAAUUGUAAUUAAUGCUACUAUUAUGCUGCAUGUAAAGGCAAUAGAGCUUUGCAUUAUGCCA